rnacentral:lncRNA from 1 species
CCCCCCCCCUCUGAGCUGUCCGGAGCAGGAAGAGGAUUAUUUCUACUUCACACAGCCUCUGGCGCCCCAUCAAAUACAGAGAGCAAAUAGCAGUUAUCCGGUGCCCGCCCGCCUGCACUUCACACCCAUCCACUUCCGGAAGCUGCAACCCCUAAGAAGUAGGGAUCAUUAAUAUUCUUCUACAGACAAGGAAACCUGGCGAGGCCUGGUGAGGCUUGCUCAGGAUAAACAGUUUCAGAUUCUGACUCCAAAGCCGCCCUUCCAAGCAGCUCUGAAUCCCGAGCCUGUGUCUCUGUCUCCUGAUCCCUUAAGGAGAGAGCUGAACGAAAUCAGAUCUGAGGUUCCUUCCUGAGUUGACAGAGCAGGCCCCGUCCCCUAACAGGUCCGGAAUCUAGAUACAGGAAGGGAAGCUCCGAGGUACCCCACACACCCCACCGCCUUUUGUGCCUCCAGCAUCCCCCCAGAUAGAGAAGGAUUGACGACUGAGGAGGGAAGGUUUGAGAGGCCUGGUAGGGAGGCAGAGGGUGGGAUCAGAGCCCACCACUGCCGUGGUGACAGCCUGAAUAAGAAUUCCGCAAUUCAUCAUCUAAUGACUCAGCCUGGCUUUGGACUGGCGCCGCUGCGAGCUGGGGAGCAUGACUCAGCAGCUGAGGGGCCCGCGUGGGAGAUCGCCGCUGUCCAUGUGAGCGCCCACUGUGGAGAACGGCUUGUUCCAGCUCCCAACCCCAAGCACUUUACCCUUCUAACAUCCUACAGUCCUGCGCCACAUAACGAUGUUUCGGUCAACAAGGGACCACACACGACGGUGGUCCUACACGAUCAGUACCAUGUGGCCUAGGUGUGUAGUGGGCUAUCCCAUCCAGGCCUGUGUAAGUGCACGCUGUGACAUUCACACAACGACGACAUCGCCUAUGAUGCCGUUCUUGGAACGCAUCCCCGCUGCGACGUAUGACUGUAUUUCAUUUAAUCAUUUAUCCUGUGUAUUGCUUAUUGUUUGUUUUCUCCCCCAAUAUCCACCCCGGGUAGAAUCCAAGUCCCAGAAGGACAGGGUAUUUUGCUGUUUUGUGCACUGAUAUUUCCUACACCCCAG